CCAGGCUUGAACUGCAGAUGACAUCCUAUGAAAGUAGGCUUCCGCAAGGACAUCUGUAGAGGUGCUGCAUGGCUGUCGUCAGCUCGUGUCGUGAGAUGUUGGGUUAAGUCCCGCAACGAGCGCAACCCUUGUCUUCUGUUGCCAUCAGGUUAUGCUGGGCACUCUGAAGAGACUGCCGGUGACAAACCGGAGGAAGGUGGGGAUGACGUCAAGUCAGCAUGGCCUUUAUGUCUGGGGCCACACACGUGCUACAAUGGCCGGUACAAACCGUUGCAAACUCGCGAGGGUGAGCUAAUCGGAGAAAGCCGGUCUCAGUUCGGAUUGCAGGCUGCAACUCGCCUGCAUGAAGUUGGAAUCGCUAGUAAUCGCGGAUCAGCGUGCCGCGGUGAAUACGUUCCC
rnacentral:rRNA from 1 species